GACGAACGCUGGCGGCGUGCUUAACACAUGCAAGUCAAGGGGGCCCAGCAAUGGGCAACCGGCGAACGGGUGCGUAACACGUGAGCAACCUACCGAAAUGUGGGGGAUAGCCGGCCUAACGGCCGAGUAAUACCGCAUACGCUCUCGAUGAGGCAUUUCAUUGAGAGGAAACCUACGGGACAUUUCGAGGGGCUCGCGGCCUAUCAGCUAGUUGGAGAGGUAACGGCUCACCAAGGCGACGACGGGUAGCUGGUCUGAGAGGAUGGCCAGCCACAUUGGGACUGAGAUACGGCCCAGACUCCUACGGGAGGCAGCAGUGGGGAAUCUUGCGCAAUGGCCUAACGGCUGACGCAGCGACGCCGCGUGUAGGAUGAAGCUCUUCGGAGUGUAAACUACUGUUGCCCGGGACGAACAGCUCGAUUAAUCGAGCCUGACGGUACCGGGUGAGG
rnacentral:rRNA from 1 species